rnacentral:rRNA from 1 species
AUUGAACGCUGGCGGCAUGCCUUACACAUGCAAGUCGAACGGCAGCACGGGUGCUUGCACCUGGUGGCGAGUGGCGAACGGGUGAGUAAUACAUCGGAACGUACCUUAUCGUGGGGGAUAACGCGGCGAAAGCUGUGCUAAUACCGCAUACGCCCUGAGGGGGAAAGCGGGGGAUCGCAAGACCUCGCGCGAUUAGAGCGGCCGAUGCCUGAUUAGCUUGUUGGUGGGGUAAAAGCCCACCAAGGCGACGAUCAGUAGCUGGUCUGAGAGGACGAUCAACCACACUGGGACUGGGACACGGGCCAGACUCCUACGGGAGGCAGCAGUGGGGAAUUUUGGACAAUGGGGGCAACACUGAUCCAGCAAUGCCGCGUGAGUGAAGAAGGCCUUCGGGUUGUAAAGCUCUUUUGUCAGGGAAGAAACACCGGCUCUAACACAGUCCGGGAAUGACGGUACCUGAAGAAUAAGCACCGGCUAACUACGUGCCAGCAGCCGCAGUAA